AAAGAUAAUAAAUAUUUUAAACAGAAUGAUAAUUUAACUGUUAGAGCUAAUAAAUAUUUUAAAUAUAAUUUUAAACAUAUAAAUUAAAAAGAUUAGAAUUAUUGGUGAGAAAAAAAAUAGUUAGGAAUUUGAAUUCGAAUCUAACUAUAAAUCACAAAACUUAUUUCCGAACUCGACGAAUUUUAAAAAUCCAUAUCCAAAUUCAAAACUGACCAAUUUUUCGAAAUCCAAAACCAAAUCUAAACCAGAAGACUAGAAUUCAAACAAUUAUUUCUGUUUACCAUAUUUCAAAGUAUUUAUAUGAAACUUAAAUUUUUAAAAUAUAAAUUUGAAUAUAAUAUUAAAUUUUAAAUUUAAAAGUGAAAUUUAAAUUAGAGGAAUUUUAUAUUACUAUUUAAAGUUUAAAUUCAAUGAUCAUAUUGUCAAAUCAUUUGAAAAUUUUCUUAUAUGAAAUGCCAAAUUAUGAAAGGAAAGAUAGAGAGAGAAAAAGGAAACAAAGAAAAAAUAAAAAUUUUAAAAAUAUAGUAGAUGUAAAAUGACUAAAUUACCUAUGUAUUAAAAGACAAAAAUAUCCCUUUUUGAGGUACCUGAUAACCGGUACCUCUCUCAAAGUGACCUGCUAUUGCAGGUCACAAUUUUAAAAAAACUAAAUCUGAGCCGUUGAAUACGGGUGAAUCAACGGUAACAAAAAAAAAAAGUAUAGAAGCAUUACUCAUGCCAAAAACACUCCCUAAUAAAUGUUUUGGUCGGCAAACACAAAUCUAUUUUGAGAUAAUGAAUGAAAGACAUCAACUUUUUAAAGUAUAAGGCUUGCUUACUAAGUGUUCAUCAGCUUAAGCUGUCAUAGAAGUUAGGGGUCGAAUUGCUGCUUAAUGCAUUUCAAAAUUAGGGAUAAGAGUCAUUGACUCUUGUGUAUUAAGUUACUAUAAAUUCUUGGUAUACUUUUGGAAUGAUAGAGCAGUGUAAAAGUCUUUAUUUAUAUUGGUAUAUUAGAUUAAAAGAUUUGAAACAGAAAAAAAGAAAAGCAGUAUUUCUAUAAAUACAUGUCUGAAUUUUUAAUUUUGAUAAGUAAAUCUUCUAAACUUCAUAUUUUAAAUUUACUGUUUAAAUUCAGUAUCAGAUUUUAAAUUCUGCUUAAGACUUCAAAUUUAUGAUUCUAAAAUUUUAAAAUACAAUAUAGUCAAAAAAAUAUUAUUUGAAAAUAGUAAAAAAAAAAUUGACAAAACGACUUCAUAAAAAUUAUUUUAGAAAAAACGCUUUCCUGCUAAAUUCAGCCAAAUACUGCAUAAUAUUUAACCAAAAUUAACUUUUUAUAUGGAAAUUAAUUCUGCAGAAUUAUUUUUUUUCAAGAUCUAGGCUAAACGGCCCCAUUAUUGUCCAAAAUGAUCUGAACCGCUCAAUUUUUUAAAAUAAAAUAAAAAACUCUCUACCAAUAGAAAUGCGCCACAUUGUAUUGUCCCUCUAAAAAUCUAAUUAUUAAUGAGUAGAUCACCGAAUCGGUGAGCACCGCAUAACCUGAGACCCCACCUUAAUGUAUGGUGUGGUGGCCCUCCUAACCUAAACACGCUUCGCGGAUUCAGCGAGCCAAUUUAGUUCUUAGAAUCUGCAAAAUAAAUAAAUAAAUAAAUAGAUUGAUAAAAUUUUUAUUUUGAGAAUCUUGAUAGGGCUGAUUAGUUAAGCAACAAAAAAUAAUUCACUAGACUAGAUUUGGCUUAUGACCUGCAUGUGGACGGUGCAGUUAAUAGAGCCAUAUCCAAUGGAUCUUCAAUUAUUAUUAUUAUUAUUAUUAUUAUUAUUAUUCUUUUUCAACCCUAAAAAAGAGCUCUAAGCAUUCACAUUAUCCGAGAAGCCACGCACAGUAUUUGACUCUCCGACAAUUUGGACAACAUUACUGACCAUCCCUAGAGCAAGUGGCAAAGAGCUCGGCGGUUGGUACCCGAGACCUAAAUUCGAAUUCUAAUUGAUUCAUAUUUCCAGCUAAGUUUAUUUCUAAAUGAAAUAAACGAAACGGAUAGCGUGUUACCUAUUUCUCAAAAAAAAAAAAAAAAAAAAACAAUUUGGACAACAUUGAAUUAGUGAAAGAUGAAGCAAAAUAUAUAAAUUUGAUGAAGAGUAAUAUUACGUUUAAGGCACUGUUUGGUUGCAUAUAGUUAUAACUGUUUUACAAUUAUAACUAACUACAUGAAAAGAUCUGAAUUUGAUGUUGGUUGUAAUAAACUUAAAUUUAACUGUUGGUGUUAAAAUUGUAUCAGAAGGUCCAACUGUAAUAAUUGAAAUUAUAUCCAAAUUAAUGUACCUAAAUUAGCCGCAAUUUUGCCUGCAGCAGCAGCAGUUAGCAGUUGGAGGGAGCAACUUUAUAGUAAGCACCCGUACCUCUCUAAUUACUGUUUAAACAGAAAAUAUCUUUCUUUUCCACAAUAGAAAUAAUCUCAUCAUCACCUACAAAAAGUAGAAAAAUUUUAAACAAAUUAUUUACCAUUACAAUACUAUCUACUAAAUCCAACUAAAUAAGAUAUAUAUAGUUAUAACUCUUAUACUUUUAACUGUAUGUAUUUUUAAUUAUAUUAAACUGAGCAGUCCCAAAAAUCCAUGGGGAUAACUAAAGCUGUAUUAUCCAAGGUUCGGCACAAAUGCAAUGAACUUCAUUACCAUCCAAAAAAUUAAUUUAAUCUUAAUUUAAUUUGUCUAGAGCUACUGUACUUUCGAAAGCUAUAUUACCGAAGGUUCUGCACAAAUGCAAUGAACUCCAUGUACCAUCCCAAAAAAAUUAAUCACUUUAAUCUAAAUUUAAUUUGCGUAAAGCUACAAUACUUUCGAAAGUAUAAGAGAGUGGUGCUUCCGACUUUUUUGACUUUGGAUCAAGAAUUAUACGGUCGAAAUGAUAGUAGUCCCUCUAGAGUUGAGUAGCCCUCCUAGAGCAAUAGUAUUAAUGCAAAGAUCAAAAAUUAUUAAAGAAGUUGAUCCAAGGGUCAAAAAGUUAGAAGCACUAAUCUAUUAUAUUUUCAAAAGUAUAAUAUUUUUAAAACUAGGCUGGAAUACUAUCAAUAACACCAAACUAUUAUUAUUAUUAUUAUUAUUAUUUUUUUCGCUUCGCUCCGGAAGCCGAGUUGCUUCCCACGUUUGCUAAAUUCAACUACUCUAUAAAUGAAACGGUAGCAUGCUGCCUUUUCUCAAAAAAAAAUAUCCCAGCCGGACUAAUAGCUCUACUCAUUUAAUUUUUAUUGUUUUAUGCGAGUACACACAGCAUUAUUUUUUUAAUGAAAGGCUAAGGGCAUGUUUGUUUCAACAUAAGUAGACUUGGAGUGGAAGUGGACUUUGGUUGAAGUGGAGUUUAGGUGAAAAUUAAUUCACUUUCGCUGUUUGUUUCUAACUGUGGAAGGGCAAUUUUGUGAGUUCUGUUGUUUGUUUGGUAGGAAGUAGAUGACGUAAAAAGUGUAGCUCUCCACCCCCAAUAUACUUACCUCCGAAGUGAUAUUAUUGUCUAUUUUGUAACUUAGUGAAUAAUAAAUUAUAAUAAAUAAAAAUUAAUGUAAUUAUAUAUGUAUAUAAUUAUAUAUAUGUAUAAUUAUAAAAUAAAAUUUUAAAAAAUUAUAUUAUUUGUUUGCAUAUAAAUUAUAAUAAUGCAACAAAUAAAAUUCUAAAGUUAAAAAUUUAUUAACAUUUAACAAAUUCAUUUUUCAUCAUUUUCUAAAUAUACAAAUUAGACAAAAAAUAUAUUAAAACUUACCUAUCCAAAUUUGAUCGCAUUACCUAACCAAAUUUAACAAACUCCUUUGCCUCUUUGCACUUCACCACCGGAAUUGACUUCGCUCCGUGGGAAGGCGAAGUCAAUUGCCUUAUUUUGGGUGAACUCGACUUUCGGCUGUAAUAAAAUUACGGCAAAACAAACAACGAAAGUGAUAGCUUACGGCGUAAACAACUUCCCUCCUCUCCACUUCCCCCUCACUUUUAUCCAAACAAACACACCCUAAGAUGCUCUUAAGAAAUGUCCUUGCUGAUAGAAAAUUUUGAAAAAAUCAACAAUUCUUGAAAAUCAUUGCGUCCAUGAUCCUGCUCUCUCUCUCUCUCUCUCUCUCUCUCUCUCUCUUUUGCAGUUGGCAUGCAGUUUAGGGGGACUCGUGGUUUUCUGCUUUAUGAAAAACUGUGGGAGUUUUUCUUAAAAAUAAAAAGAAAAAAGAAGAAGAAAAACUGUGGGAGGCGCCGUUAGGUUAACAAAUCGCGUGGCGCGACAAUUUUGGAUUUCUAAGCGGGCGUUUGAUUCUUUAAAAAAAUAUAGAAAUUUUUUAGGAAAACAGUGAAACGGUGUUUUUUUUUAUGAUUUUUGUGCUUUGAUUUUUCGCAUGUUCAGUUUUGAAGAAAAUUAUACUUUUAGAAAAACAUUUUCACAUUUUAUAAAAAUCAGUAUUUUUAAUUUUUUUAAUAAAAUCUAGUAAUUUUUUUGAAAAAAAGUAAUUUUUAACUAAAUAGAUGAAAAAAAAAAAAAUUUCCAUGUAUAUUUUUUCGAAAAAUAAUUUAUUAAACUUUGACUGAAGAAUCCAAACAAAACCUAAUGCUAAAUUCAAGAGAGCAUUUAUCCAGAGCAAAACAAUUAAAGAUCCCAAAAAGUUGAGGGAAAGAAAGAAAGGUAAAAAAAAAAAGUAAAAAAGAGAGAGGGCGCCGCGCAAGAAGAUGAAACUAAGAUCAUAAUUCCAUUAAUUCGAUUUCUACAAGGUUACACAAAAAGAAAAGAAAAGAAAAAAAAAAAGAGAGUUAUAAUUAGAACACCACAAGAUCAGCGUAUGAUGAGGAGGGUUGUGUCUACUAAUAUGCACAUAAACCCUCCUCCUCCUCCUCCUCCUCCGUCCACUAAUCCACCUCUCAGAAUAAUAAUUGCAUAUAGUACAGUAAAAUCAUCCAUCCAGAUCCUUCUAUAAUGUUCUUCUGAGAUCGGAAUCGAAAGAUCGGAUCAUCGUGUACCCUUUUUCGAAUCGAUCGCCGUCGAUCCCUGUCCUCUUCGCGAGGCGCGGAAAAACCCUAAGAUCGGAUCAGGAUGCUGACGAUAACCCCCCACCCCCCGGCCUACCAGCACUGAUCCGUUUCCCACGUCCUGCGCCCGGAUCUGGCAAAGCUCGGGGCCGCGUAGGAGGAGGAGGAGGAGGAGGAGAAGGGCCUCCGAUCGCCGCGCGGUGGCGCCGCGGCGGCGGCGGCGGCGGCGGCGGCGGCGGCGGCGGCGGCGGCGGCGGAGGAGAGGGACGUGGAGCGGUCGUAGCGGGCGCGCUGGUCGGGGUCGGAGAGGGUGGCGUAGGCGGCGUGGAUGCGGAUGAACUCGUCGGCGGAGGCGCCGCGGACGACGUCGGGGUGGCGCUCGCGCGCGAGGCGCCGGUACGCGGCCUUGAUCUCGCGCCCCGUCGCCGCCGCGCCGAUCCCGAGCACGUCGUACAGCGUUCCGCCGGCUGCGGCGGAGGGUGCGGCGGCGGCGGCGGAGGCGCGGAGGCGGAGGCGACGGGGGAGAGGAGGGGGACGGGGAGGGUUCCGAAGCCCGAGAAGGGAGUUCGGAGAGGAGAGGGAGAGCGAUGCAACAGCAACCAUGGAGAAUACGGAGAUGGGGAGAGAUUGGAGAGGUUGAAGACGAUGGUUUGGGGGGAUUACCAUUAUUAUAAGCAGGGGGAGGGGGAGGCGAUAUCCGCGCCUCUCUAUCUAUGGACGGAGAUACUCUUUGACUCUUGAGGGUACAGAAGAUCAUUGCGUAGACCUGCUGCACUCUUUUUAUUUUUGGACCGCUCCCUCUUUUUCCGGCAUCUUCCCGAAUGAUUCAAGAACUUUUCUCUCUGCUGGCCAAGUGAAAAGAAAAUCUAGAAUAAGAUGCUGUACAAUGCUGUUCGAUAAAUAUACUGUAAUUCAUUCAUUCAUGUCUCUCCGAACAAAAUAUAUUGUAUUUAGGAGCAAAGCUUGUGUGCUUCUAAAAGCACGGUAGUUUCUGUGCCAUUAAAUCGUUUUUGUUGUUGAAACUUUCGAAUCAACGAUCGAUUUUCUUAGAUUUGAUCUAGAGUACUGAAAAUAUGUAGAAUAUAAAUUCUAUAAUUUUUCAUUAUCAUCUGUCGAAAAAAUUCAAAAUUAAAAAUUUUAAUGAUUGUAGUGAGUUAUUCUUAAAUUUAAUAAUGUAGAAAUAUUUAAAAUAAAUGAAAUUCUAAUAGAAAAUUAUUUAUACUUAUAAGGCAAAAUAAAUAUAAACUUUAGUAUUAUAUUUUGUUACAUUUUUAUUUUUUGAAAAUAUUCCAAAUUAAAUUCAAACAAAACUAAUCGCUGAUUUAAAAAUUCUAAAUAUUAUAAAUCCUGUUAUAGUACGGAGGCCACCGUACCUUCAAAAAUAAAAAUACACAAAUAAGGUCCGAUAUUUAAUCUUUAAACUAAAAAGUAUUUUGAAUGAGAUAAAAUAUUUAAUACUAAGUAAAAUAUAAAUUAUCUGAACAAAUUAAUUACAACAGCAUCAAGACAGUCUCCUUCCUUGGGGUGAUAAAAAUAAGCAGUCGACAACUGAAGAUCGAAGGAAGUCUGGGUAGAAAAGUUUCCAAUUUGGCCGGGGGUGCUUAUCCGCUGGGGACGGCGGGGUGAGUCAGCGAGGGGUCGGAUUGGCUGUCACGGAACGGAGAGUGCAGUCUGGAGUCUGGACCGCGCAAAAAACAAAUCACACGCAAGAGCCAGCGGAAGACUGGCAUCGGGUUGGAAAACUCGGAAGCGGGGAUAGCGAGGGUGUCGCCUUAGUCAUGCUCGAGCUGGACUGGUACGAUGUCACCGGAUUGGAUUGGCCCCACACCCCUCCCCCACCACAACCGGGUCCGGAUAGGGUUGGCCCCACACCGGACGUGGCAGUGGAUAGAUUAAUUCCAAUAAGUCAUGUCUCUUCUUUUUUUUCUUUUUUUUUUUUGAAAAAAUUUUUCUCAAUAUAAAUUUUAAUAUUUGGUGGGGCACAUAACUCUAAUGUGAAGUUGAGGAUGAUCUCAUAAGAGGAUGGGAUCCGAAAUGAGAGGUUCGGGGGGAUGAACUUUAAUGAAAUAUGGUAAUGUUCCUUGCGAAAAAAGACGCUCUUAAAAAAAGAUCUAUAAAGUUACGGUUAUGUAUUAUUAUUGAUGUAUUGACAAUUUAUGUCGCACAUGCAUGAAUCAAUCAAAAGCCUUCAAAUCAUAUAUUAAGAGCAAUAUCGUACGAAGUACAAAGAAGUUUUCUCUAGAAAAUGAAUUUGAAAGAGAAUUGCUUUAGAUCCACCAUAAUUUUGUCCUUCUAUAUAGUUUUUGUGUUGAAAUUUUAUGUGGUAUUUUUGGAGUGCAUUAAUCAACCAAUCAUCUCUCUUCAUAUUAUAAUAACAAUAAAUCUAUUAAAUAUAAAAGCUAAUAAUGAAAUGGACCAGCAGCAGCAGGGUUCAAGAAAACAAUGUAUGAUAAUCUGCAGUAUUAUAGAACAUUUUAAAAUAGACGUCUCAAUGUUACUUUUUGUUAGUCAAUAUUUUCUUAAUUUCUAACUCUUCUUAUUUAAGAUAUUUUAUUUUUUAAAAGUUAUCAUUUUCAUAUGUUAUGACUCAAUUAGCUGGUAGUCAACAAUUUUUUUUUAUUUUUUUACUAAAAUAUAAUUAUAAAUAUUAAUUUGACGAAAUUAGUAAUGUAUUUGAGAGAUUCAACUUAGUUGCCUAAAAUUAUUUGAUUCAAAAAAAAAAAAUAAAACUAAAAAAAAUUAACUGAAACGCCUAUUUCAAAAUGUGUAUGUACAGUUAAGAGGUCUUCAUAUGCAUAAAUAUAUAUAGAGAGAGAGUGUUCGUCUAGUAUACUACUGAUAGUAAAUGAAUAAUAUUGCGAUCAACUUUUUCACCUUUAAAUUAUAUAUAUAUAUAUAUAUAUAUAUAUAUAUAUAUAUAUAUAUAUAUAUUCCGACUAUUAUAUUAUCAAUAUCACCAAGCGUUUGGUGUUAUCAAGUUUUCCGCCGUUAGUUAGAUGUAUUCCUUUGAUCAUUUCUAUCCGUUAAAUCAUACUAUAUAUUCAACUAACCAUCCACUUAACUCUAGAGGAUCACUAUCAUUCUAACCAUAUAUCCUUUCAUCUAAGGUUGCUAUUAAUAGUAUAGUAACAUAAUUCUAUAUAUAUAUAUAGUGUGACACCACAUUGCUAUCCAAAUCAUAUCCAUUCUAAUCUUUAGUGACCGAACCAAAGCCAAAUUCAAACUAAACUAGUAAAUCUAAAUUUGGACAUUUAAAUUUACAGAUUAAUUUUAAAUUUUAUUUCAGAACACCCGGAAAAUUUACUGUGUCCAAACGACCUUACUGGGUCGAGCCAAAUAUAAAAAGACCAUAUCAGUAACAGAAAUCAGAAGUCGGUCUGAAUCCGACCCGACUUUUCACGGGCCUGAACUUUUGAGACAUGAGCUGGUCCAGUGAACUAGCUUAGUCCNUAUAUAUAUAUAUAUAUAUAGUCCGGCUGCUAUACUAUCGAUAGCACCAAGUAGUUGGUGCUAUCAAGUUUUCUGCCGUUAGAUUAACCCCUUUGAUUAUUUUUAUCCGUUAGAUUAUACUAUUCAACCAACCACCUACUCAACCCUACGGGGCCCACAUCAUCCUAACCGCACAUCUUUUAAUCCAAGGGGGGAAAACUUAAUAGCACAAAGUCAUUGGUGCUAUUAAUAGUAUUCCAGCCUAGUUCUAUAUAUAUAUAUAAAAAUAGAGUCCGGCUACUAUACUCUUAUGAGUAUAGAGCUUUUUGUACUCAUAAAUUUUUUACCGUUUGAUCUACCCUUUAAUCAUUUUCAUCCGUUAGAUUAUAGUAUUCAACCAACCACUCACUCAACCCAAAUGGGGCCACUAUCAAUCUAACCGUAACCACUCUCAUCCCAACCACACAUUUUUUCAUCUGAACGGCCGAAAAUUUAUGAAUACAAAAGACUCUAUACUCAUAAGAGUAUAGUAGCCCCAGCCUAUAUAUAUAUGUAUAUAUGAGUAUAGUAGCCCCAGCAUAUAUAUAUAUAUUAUAUAUAUAUAUUAUAUAUAUACUAUGGUAGAAAGAGAGAGAGAGAGAGAGAGAGAGAGAGAGAGAGAGAGCGCGCGCUAGGCUGGUAUGCUAUCGGUAGCACGAAGGCCUCCGUGCUACCAAGUUGUUUUCAAUGUUGCGGCUUCCAAAUUGACGAUUGGCUCCGUUAGACUUGAUCUACACUACUAAAAGUAUUUGGAAACUAAAUUUCAUGAUUUUUCAACGUCAUUUACCUAUCAAACGAGUAGUCUAAAAAUGAACAACUGAAAAUAAAAAUUUCAUACAAAAUGAUGAUAAAAGACUUGAAUUACAGAUCAGAGGUAGUGAUCUUACUCUAAAUAGUGAAAAAAAAAUUUAUAAAAAAUUCAUCAGAUUUGGAUUGUUUUAAAUCGUUAAAUUCACAGAUGCAUCACAUCUACCAUUAAAAUUGUCGAUUUUGAGACCUUUUGAUCACUAGCCAAAUGAUGUCGAAAAAUUAUAAAAUUUAGUUUUCAAAUACUUUCAAUAGUGUAGAUCAAGUCUAACGGAGCCGAUCGUUAAUUUGAAAGCCGCAUCAUUGAAAACAACUUGGUAGCACGGAGGCCUCCGUGCUAGCUCUCUCUCUCUCUCUCUCUCUCUCUCUCUCUCUCUCUAUAUAUAUAUAUAUAUAUAAUUCUUAUAUUUUAUUUUUGACAAAAUUAUUUAUGCAAAUCUUGUAGAAUAUUCUUUUUUUAUGUUAUUAGUAUGUUGAAUUUAUGUGCAUAUUUUACUGUAUAACUUUGUAAAUAUUAAUAAUAUAUAAAAAUAAUAUUACAACAAAACUUAGUAAGAUUUCACAAAUUAAAAAUUAGGAUAGGAUAAUGUGUUAUUAUUUCCUACAGAGUAAUUCUAUAAAUAAGGAUGCAAAUGAGGCACAUCCGGAGGUGGGAUGGGUCUUCCACCUCCCGCCCUACUUUUUUCGUGGGUGGACGGGUUAAAAAAAAUUUUAUUUUAAAGUUUACUGUCAUUUAUCACUCCAUUUGGAAAAAGACGGAAAAAAAGCAAAUUUUUAAUAUAUUUUUAGCGAAACAGAACAGAUGAAGGAAAAGAAAAAGAAAAUUCCGCCUCUCGCUUCAUUCCUUAUUUGAUGGGAGUAGAUUUGAGAUGAAACCUUUUUUCUUUAUGUUUGAUCACACUCAAAAGGAUUUAUUUUUUUUUUUCCUUUUAUUUUUGGAAUUGGGUUUGUGGUGCGAAUUAGUGAUGCAGUGGGGCUUCUUUCCCAUGAGAGGAAACUUACUAUGACCAGGACCACAGAAUAGAAAUUGAGUGGUCCAGUUUUGGGCAUAGUUUUAUUGAUACACUCCAAUUAUUAUGGGAUGAAGAGCACCAAGGGAUAAGGAGGAAGACUUGGAAGAAGUGCAAGAGACAUUAUUUCCACGGUUGUGGAUAAGGUUAGUGGUUAAAUUUUUCAGAAAAUACGUACGGAAUAUAAAAUUAUUUUGAGUUGACUAUCCAAUCUUUUAAAAAUUUUAAUUUUAUCAUCUAAUUUUAUAAUUUGUUUGAUUUGAGUAGGUAAAUAGUACUCUGACUUUAAAAUUUGAACGUAUCGUUUAUUUUUAUAGAUUUAAUUAGUUAUUUCGUAUAAUUUUUAUAACUAUAAAUUUAUUAAAUAGAUAAUUAGUUUAAAUUUAGAUGUUAAAAUACUACCGACUGAUUCAAAUCAAAUAAAUUAGAAUGUUAGAUAGUAAAAUCAAAAUUUUGAAAAAUUGGAUAGCUUGGUCCGGUUCACAGAACUUCUGUAUGUUUUUAUCUAACUUUUCUUUUUAACCAUGGAUAAAGAUUUCUGUUUGAAUAUGUUUUGUAAUAGCUUAAUUUUUAUUAGGUAUUGUUUUGAUGUAUAGACAUCAUUUCAGUAAAUUUUUUUAAUUUAUUUAAAAAAUUUAUAGUAUUUUAUAGAUGAGGAGUGAAAUUUGAUUUUCUAGAACGACAUUUAACAUUUAGCAUUCAGGUCAUUAAGAAAAUUCUCAUGCUUAACAAAUUAUUUCCCAAUAAUCUAAAUUAGGCUUUACAUUAAUAAAUUGAAAAUACUAGUAAUUACGGUAAUCCCAAAAGUUUGGGCAAAUUACAGAGUAAAAUGAUACUGUUAUCUCUGAAUUCUUGUGGGAUAGAUUACAUGCCAUCCAAAUCUAAACUCCUAUCGAAUUUGAAUUUAAAUUCACUUAAAUAUUGGCGUACAUACAUUACAGCUGUUUAAGAUUAUUUUUUCCAUUUCAAACUAAUCAAAACAAAAGCACUCAGAAAUGGACAGGAUUUACUGUUAUUUACAGCAAUAAAAAUUCUGCGCACUGAAUAAUCCUGCCAAUCAGUCAUGUCAGUAUGUCCCAGU
rnacentral:lncRNA from 1 species